rnacentral:rRNA from 1 species
GCUUAACACAUGCAAGUCGAGCGCGAAAGUCCCUUCGGGGAUGAGUAGAGCGGCGGACGGGUGAGUAACGCGUAGGAAUCUGCCUGGUAGUGGGGGAUAACUCGGGGAAACUCGAGCUAAUACCGCAUACGCCCCAUGGGGGAAAGCGGGGGACCUUCGGGCCUCGCGCUAUCAGAUGAGCCUGCGUCGGAUUAGCUAGUUGGUGGGGUAAUGGCCCACCAAGGCGACGAUCCGUAGCUGGUCUGAGAGGAUGAUCAGCCACACUGGGACUGAGACACGGCCCAGACUCCUACGGGAGGCAGCAGUGGGGAAUAUUGGACAAUGGGGGCAACCCUGAUCCAGCCAUACCGCGUGUGUGAAGAAGGCCUUCGGGUUGUAAAGCACUUUCAGUGGGGAGGAAAAGGCUCCGGCUAAUAUCCGGGGCUCGUGACGCUACCCACAGAAGAAGCACCGGCAAACUCCGUGCCAGCAGCCGCGGUAAUAC